GGGGGCAUCGGUCACUCCCAACCCAUGUGAACCAUACCAAACUGUUGCCUCGGCGGGGUCACGCCCCGGGUGCGUCGCAGCCCCGGAACCAGGCGCCCGCCGGAGGGACCAACCAAACUCUUUUCUGUAGUCCCCUCGCGGACGUUAUUUCUUACAGCUCUGAGCAAAAAUUCAAAAUGAAUCAAAACUUUCAACAACGGAUCUCUUGGUUCUGGCAUCGAUGAAGAACGCAGCGAAAUGCGAUAAGUAAUGUGAAUUGCAGAAUUCAGUGAAUCAUCGAAUCUUUGAACGCACAUUGCGCCCGCCAGUAUUCUGGCGGGCAUGCCUGUCCGAGCGUCAUUUCAACCCUCGAACCCCUCCGGGGGGUCGGCGUUGGGGACCUCGGGAGCCCCUAAGACGGGAUCCCGGCCCCGAAAUACAGUGGCGGUCUCGCCGCAGCCUCUCCUGCGCAGUAGUUUGCACAACUCGCACCGGGAGCGCGGCGCGUCCACGUCCGUAAAACACCCAACUUCUGAAAUGUUGACCUCGGAUCAGGUAGGAAUACCCGCUGAACUUAAGCAUAUCAA
rnacentral:rRNA from 1 species